rnacentral:tRNA from 1 species
GGGAAUGUGGCUUAGUGGUAGAGUGCUUGCCUUGCAUGCACAAGGCCCUGGGUUCAAUUCCUCAGUACCA